UACGUAGGGGGCAAGCGUUGUCCGGAUUUAUUGGGCGUAAAGCGCCCGCAGGUGGUCCGAUGCGUCGUGCGUGAAAGACCCCGGCUCAACUGGGGGGCGUCGUGCGAUACGGUCGGACUGGAGGCCAGUAGGGGGAUGCGGAAUUCCGGGUGUAGUGGUGGAAUGCGUAGAGAUCCGGAGGAACACCAGCGGCGAAGGCGGCAUCCUGGACUGGUCCUGACACUCAUGAGCGAAAGCGUGGGGAGCGAUCCGG
rnacentral:rRNA from 1 species